rnacentral:rRNA from 1 species
AGCAGCCGCGGUAAUUCCAGCUCCAAUAGCGUAUAUUAAAGUUGUUGCAGUUAAAAAGCUCGUAGUUGAAUUUCGGGAUCAAUAUGUUUGGUCGUGCCUCGGUACGUACUAGCUUAUUGGUUUCUCCUUUCUGAAGAACCAUGAUGUCAUUCAUUUGGUGUCGUGGGGAAUCAGGACUGUUACUUUGAAAAAAUUAGAGUGUUUAAAGCAGGCUCACGCUUGAAUACAUUAGCAUGGAAUAAUGAAAUAGGACGUUUGAUUCUAUUUUGUUGGUUUCUAGGAUCGACGUAAUGAUUAAUAGGGAUAGUUGGGGGCAUUAGUAUUCAAUUGUCAGAGGUGAAAUUCUUGGAUUUAUUGAAGACUAACUACUGCGAAAGCAUUUGCCAAGGAUGUUUUCAUUAAUCAAGAACGAAAGUUAGGGGAUCGAAGACGAUCAGAUACCGUCGUAGUCUUAACCAUAAACUAUGCCGACUAGGGAUCG